rnacentral:rRNA from 1 species
GACGGAGGAUGCAAGCGUUAUCCGGAAUGAUUGGGCGUAAAGCGUCCGCAGGUGGCAGUUCAAGUCUGCUGUCAAAGACCGGGGCUUAACUUCGGAAAGGCAGUGGAAACUGAACAGCUAGAGUAUGGUAGGGGCAGAGGGAAUUCCUGGUGUAGCGGUGAAAUGCGUAGAGAUCAGGAAGAACACCCGUGGCGAAGGCGACUACCUGGCCCAUUCUUGACGCUGAGGCGCGAAAGCUAGGGGAGCGAACGGG